rnacentral:rRNA from 1 species
GACGAACGCUGGCGGCGUGCUUAACACAUGCAAGUCGAACGGUGAAGGGACCGGUUUUUGCUGGUUCUGGAUGAGUGGCGAACGGGUGAGUAACACGUGAGUAACCUGCCCCCUUCUUCUGGAUAACCGCAUGAAAGUGUGGCUAAUACGGGAUAUUCUGCGCCUGCUGCAUGGUGGGUGUGGGAAAGAUAUUGUUUCGGUGGGGGAUGGGCUCGCGGCCUAUCAGCUUGUUGGUGGGGUGAUGGCCUACCAAGACGGUGACGGGUAGCCGGCCUGAGAGGGUGGACGGUCACACUGGGACUGAGACACGGCCCAGACUCCUACGGGAGGCAGCAGUGGGGAAUAUUGCACAAUGGGCGCAAGCAUGAUGCAGCGACGCCGCGUGAGGGAUGGAGGCCUUCGGGUUGUAAACCUCUUUCGCCAGUGAAGCAGGCCUGUCCCUUUUGUGGGUGGGUUGACGGUAGCUGGAGAAGAAGCGCCGGCUAACUACGUG